rnacentral:rRNA from 1 species
GCUGAAGUAUAUACUUUGGUAAUUGGAAUGAGAACAAUUUAAACCCCUUAACGAGUAACCAUCAGAGGGCAAGUCUGGUGCCAGCAGCCGCGGUAAUUCCAGCUCUGAUAGCGUAUAUUAAAGUUGUUGCAGUUAAAAAGCUCGUAGUUGGAUUUUAGAGUAUAUUGAUAUGGUCUCUUGUGAUAAACUUGUUGUACUGUAUUAAUUACUCUUUCCUACUGGUUACUCGACUCUGUUCUUUAUUGCAUGGAGUAGUGUCGCAAGGCAUCGCUUAGUAUUUUAUUGCUUUUAGAUGUAGUAAUUGGGUAAAACUGGUUACGAAACCUAAGGGAUCACAGUAAGGUAUUAAGUGGGGUUCCAGUUCAUUUACUUUGAGUAAAUUAGAGUGUUCAAAGCAGCCUGUAUGGGCAUUGAAUAGAUUAGCAUGGGAUAAUAGAAUAGGAUUCUUAUCUAUUUAUUGGUUUAUAGACUUAGAAUAAU